rnacentral:lncRNA from 1 species
CUUGAUGUAACGUCCAUCUGUGUUAAUUGACCUUGCCAUGGGGCAGAGGAUGUCACUGAACUUGCCUCCAUGUUUGGACAGGUUUCAAUUUUUCAAUUUUGUAGCAAAGGGAAGGCCAAUGGUGUGGGGUGUCUCCGUUUGGCAUGAGCUUUGAGAUUCCAUAUUACCUGAUGUUUCAUGACAUUGUGAUGAAAUUUCCUUUUUGUGCCAUAUCUACAUGAACUUCUUUGUUUUCAGAUUUUCCAGCAAAUAAGAGUUGGUGCAGCUUCAAGAACCAAGCCAUGAAUUUUU